rnacentral:ncRNA from 1 species
GGUGUCCGCCUACUCCACGAAAUAGACGGGCAUACAUGCGAAAAGGAGGUUUACCCAUCCCGCAGGGCCCGCGGUGCGGCAGUGUGGAGACCUGUCGUAAUGCGGUUCACCCAACUUUACCGGGUGACGCGAGGGCACGGCAAAGGACCGCCGUGUUCAGGGCCGGAUGCAAUGGCA